UUGGUUAAGUUAGAAAGGGCGCACGGUGGAUGCCUUGGCACUAGGAGCCGAAGAAGGACGGGACUAACACCGAUAUGCUUUGGGGAGCUGUACGUAAGCGUUGAUCCAGAGAUUUCCGAAUGGGGGAACCCACUAUCUUUAGUCGGAUAGUAUCCUUACGUGAAUACAUAGCGUGAGGAAGGCAGACCCAGGGAACUGAAACAUCUAAGUACCUGGAGGAAGAGAAAGAAAAAUCGAUUUCCUGAGUAGCGGCGAGCGAAACGGAAAGAGCCCAAACCAAGAAGCUUGCUUCUUGGGGUUGUAGGACACUCUAUACGGAGUUACAAAAGAAAGUUAUAAAUGAAGCGGUCUGGAAAGGCCCGCCAAAGACGGUAACAGCCCGGUAGUUGAAAUAGCUUUCCCUCCAGAGUGGAUCCUGAGUACGGCGGAACACGUGAAAUUCCGUCGGAAUCCGGGAGGACCAUCUCCCAAGGCUAAAUACUCCCUAGUGACCGAUAGUGAACCAGUACCGUGAGGGAAAGGUGAAAAGCACCCCGGAAGGGGAGUGAAACAGUUCCUGAAACCGUGUGCCUACAAGUAGUUAGAGCCCGUUAAUGGGUGAUAGCGUGCCUUUUGUAGAAUGAACCGGCGAGUUACGAUUUGUUGCAAGGUUAAGCGGAAAAAGCGGAGCCGUAGCGAAAGCGAGUCUGAAUAGGGCGAAUAAGUAACAGGUCGUAGACCCGAAACCAGGUGAUCUACCCAUGUCCAGGAUGAAGGUAAGGUAAUACUUACUGGAGGUCCGAACCCACGCACGUUGAAAAGUGCGGGGAUGAGGUGUGGGUAGCGGAGAAAUUCCAAUCGAACUUGGAGAUAGCUGGUUCUCUCCGAAAUAGCUUUAGGGCUAGCCUCGAGGUAAAGAGUCAUGGAGGUAGAGCACUGUUUGGACUAGGGGCCCUUCUCGGGUUACCGAAUUCAGAUAAACUCCGAAUGCCAUGUACUUAUACUCGGGAGUCAGACUGCGAGUGAUAAGAUCCGUAGUCGAAAGGGAAACAGCCCAGACCACCAGUUAAGGUCCCCAAAUAUAUGUUAAGUGGAAAAGGAUGUGGGGUUGCUUAGACAACCAGGAUGUUGGCUUAGAAGCAGCCACCAUUGAAAGAGUGCGUAAUAGCUCACUGGUCGAGUGACCCCGCGCCGAAAAUGUACCGGGGCUAAACAUAUUACCGAAACUGUGGAUGAACCUCUUUAGAGGUUCGUGGUAGGAGAGCGUUCUAAGGGCGGUGAAGUCAGACCGGAAGGACUGGUGGAGCGCUUAGAAGUGAGAAUGCCGGUAUGAGUAGCGAAAGAAGGGUGAGAAUCCCUUCCACCGAAUAUCUAAGGUUUCCUGAGGAAGGCUCGUCCGCUCAGGGUUAGUCGGGACCUAAGCCGAGGCCGAUAGGCGUAGGCGAUGGACAACAGGUAGAGAUUCCUGUACCAGUGCUAAUUGUUUAACCGAUGGGGUGACACAGAAGGAUAGGGAAUCGCACGAAUGGAAAUGUGCGUCCAAGCAGUGAGUGUGAGAAGUAGGCAAAUCCGCUUCU
rnacentral:rRNA from 1 species